GGGGAAUCCCGCCAUCUCCUGGGGCCGCUGUCCCCGAGGGCUUCUCGGAGGCCUUGGGCCUGCCGGGGGUGGGGGUUAGGACCGACAGCCCGGCAGCGGCCCGCGGAGCCCCAGUGUGCCGGCCUGGCAGGGCUGUGGCGGCCCAGAGCGGGACCCUGCGGAGGCGGGGGGGUGGGGGGGGGCGCGUCUCGGCAGGCAGGUGGCCAUGGGGCGAGGGAGAGGACCCCUGGAAAGCAGCCUAUGUUUAUUGACUGCGAUUCGCCUCUGAUCCUGGAGCUGGCAAGGGAGCCCCCGGCGGGUAAGUUUGGAUUUUGCGCCCGUGUGUGUGGGUGCGCUGGGCAGGCCGGCAAUUCGAGGUGGCGGCACUCCUGCCCAGGGGCACCUGGCGAACUCAGCAGGCACAGGUGGUAAGGGUCCCAGACGUGUCCUGGCCGCUAGCUAUCAAGGGGGCGGCGGGGGGGGGGGGCGGUGGUGCCCCCCUUUGGUGAGACCGUUGGUGGUGAGGAGCUCCCCAGAAGAAGGUGUAGGAAGAGGAAGCCAGGGGUGGGAUGGAGGGCCUGCAAGAUCAAGAGAGGGAGGGAGCGAGCUGAGCGGGGAAGGAGCUCCAGCAGUCCUCCAGUCCCACAGACGUGUGCCUGGCAGCCCCUGCGGGCCAGGCCCCUGCAGGCAUUGGCGAUAUGGCAGGGAAGAAAAUGGCAAAACUCGCCCCACGUGGGUCCAGGCCUAGUGGCAGGGCGCACACGACAGGACAGCCAACAUCUUAAAUGAAGGAUGCUAGAGUGUGUUCAUCGGUGGUAAGUGCCCUGGGGAAACUAGAGCAGAGGGAAGGAGGUGAGGGGUUGGGUCGCAAGUCUGAGUAGAUGAGGGUAUUUCAGAAAACCUUGAAGGAGAUGAGAGCGUGUACCGGACGGAGGGAACAACCAGUGCAAAGGGCCUGAGGUAUGAGUGGACUGGUGUGUGGAAGGGAAUGCGCAGAGGACGGUGUGGCAGGAGCAGAGGGAGCAAGCAGGUGGGAGGGGGGCAGGGCGAGGCCAGGAGGGGCCACAUGGGUCUACUCUGAGUCAGAUGGGCACCCCGGGGAGGGCCGUGAGCAGGCAAGGACAGAACCCCAUUAGGAGGUGGCCCUGUUUACCAUCAGUUCAGCCUCUGCCCCUCCCCCGCCCCCCACCGCCCAGGACAGGGGAGACCCCAGUUGCAAGGCUGAUCCUCAGAUGAUCCUUAGAGGGCUUUGUUGGGUGGAGCAGCGUGGAAGGCCCUGGGGUGACCUGCGGCCUCCCUAGGCCCAGGGCCCUGGGGCCGACCCCCCCAGCGGGCUGCAAGCGCUGAGGUCCCCAGGGAAGGCUGCCGGAGCCAGGAGGAGGCAGCCGGGGUCUGGAAGUGCCAGGCCUCAGAGGAAGUCCGCCAGGAAGGAAGAAGCCUGACUGCAAGAGGCCUGGCGCCACUCCUCCUCACAGAUGAAGAAGCCCCAGUUCCUGAUCCCAGUUCCUGUGUGGGGUCGCCUCCUGCCUUUCCUGGGUUUACAGGAAGCGUGCAUACCAUUUUCUCCCUACGUGCUUCAAGAAGGAAGGACAUUUCCUCCCAUGACCCAGGGCCGUUAUCCAUCCAACCCAUGCCCGGCGCGGGCUCCUGCUGUCGUCUGAGAGCCGCUGCACAGUCACCCUCCAGGCCCCCACUGCCUUUGACUCCUCUUUCCUUCACGCCAGCAUCUCAUCAAGGACUUCGUUACGCUUGACCAUUGGCCGUCUGGUUAUCUUUUCAUCUGAAGCAGCCUCUCUCCCCGGCCUCGUCUUUUCCCCCUGGCGCUGAGACACGCAGGGGACCGACCGGGAACAGCCCACCUUCUAGAUUGGGCCGGUUGCUCCCUUGUAGCUAGUGUCUUUAAGUGGUCCCUCUGUCCCCAGUAUCCUUUAUAAACCGGGUGUGGGGGCACAAGGCUGCACUAGAAUUGGGUCCAGCUUUGGCAAGAGCCUUGUGCCCUCCCUGGGGUGGCAUCGUCACAGGAGGCGUGUCCGACCUGUGUCCAGCAGCCGUUCGCUUAGCUUUCUGUCUCGGGACCAGCGGUAAGCAGGGGAAGACAUCUUGACAUCGUGCGGCUAUCCACGCCUCCUAGGCCUGUCACCCGGCGGUUUUCGCGUCCACUCCGCCUUAAGGGAUUCUUUCCAUCUGAUUAACGUAAAUGUCUUCAUCAGACACAUGAGUUUAUUUCUUCUGGGCUAGUGUUGGUUGACAGCUCGUCACUGGCGAUAAGGGACCUUGCGGCAAUUUAAAUGCUCCGGGACCCCGUCCCCCCAUCCUCUCUCCUGUAGCAUGAAUAAGCUGGAGUCACCCACGCAGCAAAAGCAUCCUGGGCCCGCUCCCCACCAGCCACUGCCUGGCUCUUCCGCUUCCCCACCGGGGAAUUGCACAUUCUGGCCUCCAGCUGGGUGCGGAGCACAUCCUUGGAGCAAACUUUCUUUGGCCCCGCUGUUUCCUGGCACUGAGAGCCGGUGCGGAGGAAUCAGACACUGCCCGCUCUGUCCCUGACAGACGCUUCCUGCCCUUGGUGUGAGCCCCUGCUGCCUCCUGUCCCCAAGGCGCACACGUGGUCUCUCCCCUUUUGCACCCCCACCCCGGCCCCAGUCUCAGCCCCGGGACCGCCCGGCUUGGGCCCACCCAAGGGCCAGAUAUGAGCCAUGCCUUUAGCCUGCUACUCUCUUUGCUCACCCGCAGCCUUCGGCUCUCAGCCUGAACGUGACUCCUUCAGAGAGCACCCCUCCCCUAGCUAUCGUGGCUCCCUCCAUAGUGCGUUUCGCUAGCCUGGUCUUCCUCUGUUCCUUGACACUGAGGUUGUUUACAGGUGGAGUGGUAUGUGUGUGUUGGGAGUUUUUCUGUAAGGACCCUGACCUGAGAGGAAAAGGGGUCAGCAGUGGAGCUUCCGGGGAUGGCUGGAAAGUCGGGGUGCAGGGGUCCUGCCCCCAUGGGAAGAAAGGAAUGAGAAAGAGGAAGCCAAGGCUCACCGGAGGUGGGCAGGACUCCCUGUCUGGCGGCCCACCGCCCAGGUGAGGGGAGAGGGCGGCAGCUCGGUCUGGGAAAGUGUUAUGGGUUGGAUUGUGUCCCCCAAGAGAGAUGUGUUCGAGUCUUGCCCGCCAGCAGCUGUGACUGGGACCUAACCUGGAUGAGGUGGUGCUGGACUAGGGCGGGCCUCAUCUCGCACUUGGCUUUUGCCAAUCCCCUUAGCUUGUUUGUACCCCCGCGAUGGCAGCCAUUCUCUUGAAGGCCGGACCCAAGGUGCCGGUAUCGUUUGAAGACGUGCCCGUGUACUUCAUCAAGACAGGAUGGAAGCUUCUGGACCUCAGUCAAAGGAUCCUCUCUACAAGAGAGUGUUGCUGGAGAACUACCGCCAUUUGGUGUCACUGGGUAAGGACCUCACACCCACGUCCAGUCGCCGCUACUGGAUCUCUGAACGGAAUCGCUUGUUGGUUACCGUAAGCCCGAGAAUACGUGCAUUGACCCCUAAGUGGUAACCGCACGGGCCCCCAUCGUAGUACUUUUGCAUAGAAAGUCGUGGGUUGACUAGACCUCUUCUACCCAAAAGGUGGACGCACGUUAUCCUUGAAUGUGUACGUGCGCUCUUUGAGACUUCAUUUAUUUUUAUCAAGGCUGCACUGUACAGAGUUUACCAGUUUCUGUUCCUUGAGCCAAGCCAGGCCAAGAGGCCCAGGAGAAGAAGAGCGUUUGGUUUUGCAGCCUGAAUCAAUCCAGAAAGGAGCUGGGGUGCCCCCCCCCCCGCUGCAACUCACUGCAACUCACUGCGACUCACUGCGACUCACUGCGACCCACUGCCUGCGGGGCUGCAGGGGGCCUGUUUCCUCCAUUUCUUCUCUCCAGAUUUAAACUCUAUAA